CCUACGGGUGGCAGCAGUGGGGGAUAUUGCACAAUGGGGGAAACCCUGAUGCAGCGACGCCGCGUGGGUGAAGAAGUAUUUCGGUAUGUAAAGCCCUAUCAGCAGGGAAGAAAGAAGACGGUACCUGACUAAGAAGCCCCGGCUAACUACGUGCCAGCAGCCGCGGUAAUACGUAGGGGGCGAGCGUUAUCCGGAUUCACUGGGUGUAAAGGGAGCGUAGACGGCCGUGCAAGCCAGGAGUGAAAGCCCGGGGCCCAACCCCGGGACUGCUCUUGGAACUGUGCGGCUGGAGUGCGGGAGGGGCAGGCGGAAUUCCUGGUGUAGCGGUGAAAUGCGUAGAUAUCAGGAGGAACACCGGCGGCGAAGGCGGCCUGCUGAACCGCGACUGACGUUGAGGCUCGAAAGCGUGGGGAGCGAACAGGAUUAGAUACCCGUGUAGUC
rnacentral:rRNA from 1 species